UUUUUUUUUAGUUUUGU
rnacentral:sRNA from 1 species